rnacentral:rRNA from 1 species
UGGCGAACGGGUGAGUAACACGUGAGCAACCUGCCUUACACAGGGGGAUAGCCAUUGGAAACGGUGAUUAAUACCCCAUAAAGACCACAAUACCGCAUGGUAAAAGGGUAAAAGGGAUACCGGUGUAAGAUGGGCUCGCGUCUGAUUAGCUAGUUGGUGGGGUAAAGGCCUACCCAAGGCGACGAUCAGUAGCCGGUCUGAGAGGAUGAACGGCCACAUUGGAACUGAGACACGGUCCAAACUCCUACGGGAGGCAGCAGUGGGGAAUAUUGCACAAUGGGGGAAACCCUGAUGCAGCGACGCCGCGUGAGCGAAGAAGGCUUUCGAGUCGUAAAGCUCUGUCCUAUGAGAAGAUAAUGACGGUAUCAUAGGAGGAAGCCCUGGCUAAAUACGUGCCAGCAGCCGCGGUAAU